rnacentral:rRNA from 1 species
CCUACGGGUGGCAGCAGUGAGGAAUAUUGGUCAAUGGCCGGAAGGCUGAACCAGCCAUGCCGCGUGAAGGUCAGUGCCCUAUGGGCGUUAAACUUCUUUUGUGCGGGAGCAAUAAUGGUCACGUGUGGCCAGACGAGAGUACCGUACGAAUAAGCAUCGGCUAACUCCGUGCCAGCAGCCGCGGUCAUACGGGGGAUGCAAGCGUUAUCCGGAUUUAUUGGGUUUAAAGGGUGCGUAGGCUGUGAGGUAAGUCAGCGGUGAAAUGCCCCCGCUCAACGGGGUGAAGUGCCAUUGAUACUGCCUGGCUGGAAUGCGGAUGCCGGGGGAGGAAUGUGUGGUGUAGCGGUGAAAUGCAUAGAUAUCACACAGAACACCGAUUGCGAAGGCAUCUCACGAAUCCGCGAUUGACGCUGAUGCACGAAAGCGUGGGUAUCAAACAGGAUUAGAUACCCUGGUAGUC